CCCUUAGAUGUUCUGGGCUGCACGCGCGCUACACUGAUGCGCUCAACGAGUUUUAACCUUGCCUGGAAAGGUUGGGUAAUCUUUUUAAAACGCAUCGUGAUGGGGAUAGAUUAUUGCAAUUAUUAAUCUUCAACGAGGAAUUCCUAGUAAGCGCGAGUCAUAAGCUCGCGUUGAUUACGUCCCUGCCCUUUGUACACACCGCCCGUCGCUACUACCGAUUGAAUGGUUUAGUGAGAUCCUCGGAUUGGUCCCGCCACGGGAGGAAACUUUCGAGGCGGAGUGCCGAGAAGACGAUCAAACUUGAUCAUUUAGAGGAAGUAAAAGUCGUAACA
rnacentral:rRNA from 1 species